GUGGGAGGAAUAUUGAACUUACUGAAGUUCAUGAUUUACAAAUCGAUCCAGAAAUAUCAGUGAUUGGACCACAAGAAGAUCCUCAAUCAGAAGUACCUAAAGAUGAGGUACAUCCAUAAUAUACACCUCCUCUCUGAAGGUCAGAUAGAGUGCAUCAUGCACCUCUGAGAUUUGAUGACAAUAUGAUCAACAUCAUUCAGAAUGAUGAUCCACUGAC
rnacentral:lncRNA from 1 species